AAUAUUGCGCAAUGGAGGGAACUCUGACGCAGCGACGCCGCGUGAGCGAUGAAGGUUUUCGGAUCGUAAAGCUCUGUCCUUGGGGAAGAAGGCGGCCUUCUUUGGCCACUUGAUGGUACCCCAGGAGGAAGCCCCGGCUCACUACGUGCCAGCAGCCGCGGUAAUACGUAGGGGGCAAGCGUUGUCCUGAAUUAUUGGGCGUAACGGGUGCGUAGGCGGCCUUUUAAGUCAGAUGUGAAAGACCGCGGCUUAACCGUGGGGUUGCAUUUGAAACUGGAGGGCUUGAGUAUCGGAGAGGGAAGUGGAAUUCCCAGUGUAGCGGUAGAAUGCGUAGAUAUUGGGGGGAACACCAGUGGCGAAGGCGACUACCUGGACGAAAACUGACGCUAGGGCACGAAAGCUAGGGGAGCAAACA
rnacentral:rRNA from 1 species